AUCAAAAUAGCAAUCAGUACAAGUUCCAACAAUAAAAGGGGGAAGAAAGAGGGGGGUUUGAGGGGGUGCCAGCCAGGAACAAAAGAAAUAAAACAGUUCACUAGCAAAAACCUGUCUAAAGAAAAAUGUGAUGUAAUUCCGAUGUAUUGGAGAAUUCUGACUAAGCAUCAUAACAAUCUUUUCUCAUUAAAGUCAAUUUUCAAGGAGAGAACAUGUAUGAAAUGCAUUGAAACAGGAUAUGUCAACAAAAUUUGAUUGCCCUAUUCUUAUGUAUUAGGUCACUGUAAUGUGACAAUGAAAAUGAUAAGUUAGCAUGCACAAAAAUAGAAAAAAAAUGUACUGAAAUAAAUUGGUAAAAGACUAUUUUUGUCGAAAUAAAUGAAAACAAUUUUUCAGUCACCAUUACAGCUAUAUGACUGAAACAGGGUCAGUCAAAAUGUUGGAAUAAUGAUACUUAAUGUAUUUAGUAAAUAGAAGAUUCAUAUAAUCACAUGAUUAUAUGUAUUAAGUGUUUAUGGGUAUUAGUAUCUAGGAAGUUGCACUCAAUUAAUAUUAGCCUAGGAACUAAUUUCAACUAAGGGUCCUUUUGGACAUUCUUUAAUUUAUAUAUGAUAAAAAAAUCAGUGGGUGUCAAACCCCUGAAAAUGACAUGUGGAAGAAAGGGGCAGAUGUCUCAAAAAGAUGAGCUUGAGUAUUUUAUAUGGCUUUCCCAAAACACAGCUCAUCCCAUUUCUCAGAAUUUACAUCCCUCUAAAACUCAAACCUCUACCUUCUCUCCUCCUUCUCUCUAGAAAUCCUCCAUCUCCUUUCACUUUUUCCUCAAACAGCCACCGUCUAAGCAAUUUGGGAGUCAAGAUCUUCAAUCUACACCGAUCAAAAUCAAGUUUAGAGUCAAGUGUUCUUGGUAUAAUCCUGGGAAGGAAGCAAAGUCUGGAAAAGAAUAAUCAUUGUUUGGUCCGGUCAAGAGAAGGAGCUGAAGUUUUUCUGGAGCAGGCGAUGGCAGGAGAAGAUGGUUCUUGCUAGGGUAAGACCGUUCAGUCUGGUGCUGGUUUUGUAUUAGUAAAAGACCAUUCGAUUUAAUACGUUGCUUUUAUGACUGAUCAGUCUGAUCUUAUGAGUUGUGUUAGUAUAGGUUUCUGUAAAGUUGUGAAUUUAUGGUUAUUCUAGGAUAGCUGUAAAUUAACUUUAUUCUUCUUGUAAACUGUUCUAUUUUAUUAUGAA